UAGGGAAUAUUGGACAAUGGGUGAGAGCCUGAUCCAGCCAUGCCGCGUGCAGGAAGAAGGCGUUAUGCGUUGUAAACUGCUUUUGCCAGGGGAUAAAAUGACCGUGCGCGGUUAAUUGAAGGUACCUGGUGAAUAAGCCACGGCUAACUACGUGCCAGCAGCCGCGGUAAUACGUAGGUGGCAAGCGUUGUCCGGAUUUAUUGGGUUUAAAGGGUGCGUAGGUGGCCCUGUAAGUCAGUGGUGAAAUAUCUCAGCUUAACUGAGAGGGUGCCAUUGAUACUGCAGGGCUUGAGUACAGAUGAGGUAGGCGGAAUUGACGGUGUAGCGGUGAAAUGCAUAGAUAUCGUCAAGAACACCGAUAGCGAAGGCAGCUUACCAAGCUGUAACUGACACUGAGGCACGAAAGUGUGGGGAUCAAACAGGAUUAGAUACCCGCGUAGUCCCUGAGCGGGCUGGCAAGGCGCAU
rnacentral:rRNA from 1 species